UUAAAUUGAAGAGUUUGAUCAUGGCUCAGAUUGAACGCUGGCGGCAGGCCUAACACAUGCAAGUCGAACGGUAACAGGAAACAGCUUGCUGUUUCGCUGACGAGUGGCGGACGGGUGAGUAAUGUCUGGGAAACUGCCUGAUGGAGGGGGAUAACUACUGGAAACGGUAGCUAAUACCGCAUAACGUCGCAAGACCAAAGAGGGGGACCUUCGGGCCUCUUGCCAUCAGAUGUGCCCAGAUGGGAUUAGCUAGUAGGUGGGGUAACGGCUCACCUAGGCGACGAUCCCUAGCUGGUCUGAGAGGAUGACCAGCCACACUGGAACUGAGACACGGUCCAGACUCCUACGGGAGGCAGCAGUGGGGAAUAUUGCACAAUGGGCGCAAGCCUGAUGCAGCCAUGC
rnacentral:rRNA from 1 species